UCAGAGUACAAGAAAAUGAGGGAGGCAAUUGACAAGUAUGAGGGUGGUUUGGAAGCUUUUUCUCGUGGUUACGAAAAAAAGGGUUUCACUCGUAGUGCUACAGGUAUCACUUAUCGGGAGUGGGCUCCUGGUGCCAAGUGGGCUGCCCUCAUUGGAGAUUUCAACAAUUGGAACCCAAAUGCUGACGUCAUGACUCGGAACGAAUUUGGUGUCUGGGAGAUUUUUUUGCCAAAUAAUGCGGA